rnacentral:lncRNA from 1 species
AUGACGGUAAAUAAAAAAGCGAGAGGGGCAGAGAAACCCAGACUCGGGUGGCACGGAUCCUUUCUUUGGGAAAGGUCUGACUCCGGGGGGAGAGGGGGGCGGGAUCUGGUUACUUCCAACCCAAAGAAGGGACCGGCAAAGGGGGAGGCCGGGAGCACUUCUUCCCCUCCAGCCCAAACGCCCGACGGCCGCCCAGCGCCCGGCCUCCAGGAGCCGGGAAGGUGCGCGAGUCCCGCGCAGCGCUGGCGCCCGCGCAGCGCCCCCGGGGCGGCAGGGGAGGCGGGGCGGGGGGCGGGCGACCCGCUCGCGCCUUACCUUCCCCUCCCCCGCUCGGCGUCGGUUGACUCAGGUGCCUACGCAGCGAUGCGAAGGGACAGAGCAGGGCUCCGGGCGUCCCCGGGUCCGGAUCUCCUCUCCAUGGCCAGGAAGCCCAACGAGCCCCGGCGCGCGCUGCUGCUGCUCUUUUCGGCAACUGGCAGCCGCAGCCUCCGCCUGGAGGUGAAACUCUUCUCCCGGGAUGACGCGCACUUCCCUCCGCCUCCGCCUCCGCCUCCGCCUCCUCCAGCCCCGAGCCUCCCGAGCCGGGGCCUCGGCUCGCUCUCUCCGGGAGCAGCCGCUCGGCUUUCUCCGCUCCCUCCCCUUCGGGGUGGCGCGGACCCGAGCGUCCUCGCUAAAACCGGGGAGGCGGCGGCGCGCGGCAGAGCGGAGUCGCGGGAGUCGCGCUGGUCCCCGGUCGGCGGGCGCCGCGGCUCGCGAAGGUCGCGCUCAGCCUCCGCCGGCCAGACAAGCGGCCCGGCUCUGCGGGGCCCAGGGCUGCGGAUUGGGCUGGAGCGCGGGCCACGGCAAGGGAGGCGGGGAGAGAGGAGGAGCCUGCCGCGGCGAGGAGGCGGUGGCCGCGCGGGGAUCCUCCCGCCGUCCCCCGCUGCGGGCGAGCGGCCGACCGGGGCGCUCAGCGCCACUCGCUGCCGCGCGCAGGGACAGCGCCGGGGCGCACGGCCGGCACGCAGGGGCCCCAAGCAGCGCCCCGGGCUGCGGCUGCAGGCUCCGACCGGGUCAGGGCGCGCGUCCUCGGUCUGA